CGUGUCGUGAGAUGUUGGGUUAAGUCCGCAACGAGCGCAACCCUCGACCUUAGUUGCCAGCAUUCAGUUGGGCACUCUAAGGUGACUGCCGGCUAAAAGUCGGAGGAAGGUGGGGAUGACGUCAAAUCAUCAUGCCCCUUAUGACCUGGGCUACACACGUGCUACAAUGGGCGGUACAAAGGGUCGCGAACCCGCGAGGGGGAGCCAAUCCCAAAAAGCCGCUCUCAGUUCGGAUUGCAGGCUGCAACUCGCCUGCAUGAAGCCGGAAUCGCUAGUAAUCGCGGAUCAGCAUGCCGCGGUGAAUACGUUCCCGGGCCUU
rnacentral:rRNA from 1 species